UCGAAAGGAAAUAAACCAUAGAAAUCAAUAACAUAGAUGAAAUUGUGCUUUGUCUACUUUUUGAUGAAAAAAAAGCUCAUUUCGAUGCAUAUAACGUCAUUUUAAGGGUGUCCCGCUGUUACAAUUUUGUUUAAUGUGCGUCUUUGAAAUCCCAGUGCGGAUUCAUUAGUAAGUAGAAUGGUUUAAAAUUUUACCAAUAUAUUGUAUACAUUUAACGUUUAAUGAAGUAAUAGACGUUUUUUUACUAUAAGAGUAGGAAGAACGUCAGAAAAGUUUAAAUAAAAAAAGAGAAAAAAUGUCCCAAUUUGCUGCUUAACCCGUAAAAAAACUUUCUGUCUUCAAUUUCAUAAUAUAUAACAUACGAAAAUGGAUUUUAAUAAUAUCAGAAAAAUUAUACAUGUUCCGAGGAAGCUAUCUGAAGUCAUCGUUAUGUAACUGCGGUCUUAUUUUAAAA
rnacentral:lncRNA from 1 species